rnacentral:lncRNA from 1 species
UGCUGGAAAAUACAUAAAAUCACACUUUAAAGGCAGACCUGAAAUUCUCCUAGCUCACCUUAGAAGAGUUACUGGAAAAAACUAAUGAUUAAUCAUUGCACUUUCUUUUCUUCCCAGUUCCAUGAUCAACUAAGCACUUCAUUUCUUUUAUAUUCUCAUUUUGCUCAUUGAUUGAUAGUAUCUGGCUCCAUAUUCAAACUCUAUAAUACAAUGCACAGACUGGGUUUUUGUUGGUGUUUUUUCAGACAGUUUUGGCAUCUUCCUGACCUGAAGAGGAAAAUGAAGCCAAUGUAUGCCACGGUUUUCUUAAGAGAUGUUAGAGAUAAGCAAAGCGUAAAAUUUUGUACUCUGUAUGAUGAAAUCAAAGCUUGAAACAUAAUUAUUAAUAGUAUGCAAAGAGUUUAUCAAGAAGAACAAAACAAACCAAUUUCUGGGAGAAUUUAUCAUUGAUAUUUUUGUUUACUUUUUCUGAUUAUAUGAAUUGAACUUAACUUCUACCAUGAAUUCUCAUAGGAUAAACACU